rnacentral:rRNA from 1 species
GAUGAACGCUGACAGAAUGCUUAACACAUGCAAGUCAUUGGCGAAGCUGCGCUUGCGCAGUCUAGCCAAGGCGGACGGGUGAGUAACGUGUAAGGAACUUGCCCUGCAGACAGGGAUAACAGACGGAAACGACUGAUAACACCUGGUAUUGUCAGGCUGGCGCAUGCCGGCCUGAUGAAAGGAGACGCUGCAGGAGAGCCUUGCGUCCUAUUAGCUAGUUGGUGGGGUAACGGCCCACCAAGGCGAUGAUAGGUAGCCGGCCUGAGAGGGUGAACGGCCACAAGGGGACUGAGAUACGGCCCUUACUCCUACGGGAGGCAGCAGUGGGGAAUAUUGGACAAUGGGGGCAACCCUGAUCCAGCAAUUCUGUGUGCACGAAGAAGGUUUUCGGAUUGUAAAGUGCUUUCAGCAGGGAAGAAGAAAGUGACGGUACCUGCAGAAGAAGCGACGGCUAAAUACGUG